rnacentral:rRNA from 1 species
CACGUAGUUUAGCCGGCGCUUUUUCUGCAGGUACCGUCACUUUCGCUUCUUCCCUGCUAAAAAGAGGUUUACAACCCGAAGGCCGUCAUCCCUCACGCGGCGUUGCUGCAUCAGGCUUUCGCCCAUUGUGCAAUAUUCCCCACUGCUGCCUCCCGUAGGAGUCUGGGCCGUGUCUCAGUCCCAGUGUGGCCGGUCACCCUCUCAGGCCGGCUACCCGUCGAAGCCUUGGUGAGCCGUUACCUCACCAACAAGCUGAUAGGCCGCGAGCCCAUCCCGGACCGAAAAACUCUUUCCAACAACUGACCAUGCGGCCGCUGUUCGUAUCCGGUAUUAGACGCCGUUUCCAGCGCUUAUCCCGAGAGUCCGGGGCAGGUUGCUCACGUGUUACUCACCCGUUCGCCACUGAUCCACAGGAGCAAGCUCCCGCUUCACCGUUCGACUUGCAUGUGUUAAGCACGCCGCCAGCGUUCAUCCUGAGCCAGGAUCAAACUC